rnacentral:rRNA from 1 species
ACGGGAGGCAGCAGUGGGGAAUAUUGGGCAAUGGGGGGAACCCUGACCCAGCAACGCCGCGUGGAGGAAGAAGGUCUUCGGAUCGUAAACUCCUGUCCUCAAAGACGAGAAGAAGACGGUAAUUGAGGAGGAAGCCCCGGCUAACUACGUGCCAGCAGCCGCGGUAAUACGUCGGGGGCAAGCGUUGUCCGGAAUGAUUGGGCGUAAAGGGCGCGUAGGCGGCCUGUUAAGUCUGGAGUGAAAGUCCUGCGUUUAAGGUGGGAAUUGCUUUGGAUACUGAUGGGCUCGAGUGCAGGAGAGGUGAGUGGAAUUCCCAGUGUAGCGGUGAAAUGCGUAGAGAUUGGGAGGAACACCAGUGGCGAAGGCGAGUUACUGGACUGUAACUGACGCUGAGGCGCGAAAGUGUGGGGAGCAAACAGGAUUAGAUACCCUGGUA